GACGAACGCUGGCGGCGUGCCUAAUACAUGCAAGUGGGACGCAAGAGAACACACUGUGCUUGCACACCGUGUUUUCUUGAGUCGCGAACGGGUGAGUAACGCGUAGGUAACCUGCCUAUUAGCGGGGGAUAACUAUUGGAAACGAUAGCUAAUACCGCAUAAUAUUAAUUAUUGCAUGAUAAUUGAUUGAAAGAUGCAAGCGCAUCACUAGUAGAUGGACCUGCGUUGUAUUAGCUAGUUGGUAAGGUAAGAGCUUACCAAGGCGACGAUACAUAGCCGACCUGAGAGGGUGAUCGGCCACACUGGGACUGAGACACGGCCCAGACUCCUACGGGAGGCAGCAGUAGGGAAUCUUCGGCAAUGGACGAAAGUCUGACCGAGCAACGCCGCGUGAGUGAAGAAGGUUUUCGGAUCGUAAAGCUCUGUUGUAAGUCAAGAACGUGUGUGAGAGUGGAUUUUUCACAC
rnacentral:rRNA from 1 species